rnacentral:lncRNA from 1 species
UGGCAUGAGGUUGUUGUAGCACAUUUGCACUGCUUAUUGCUAGGUAAUUUUCUCCGGGCAUUGGAGAUUGAGGAUCCUCCUUCUCAUUAUGAAGUCAUUGGUCCCCAGGCUUUUGGGUAGUUUAAGCUAGGUCCAUGAUCGAGACCUUCUUCUUUGAACUGACAAACUGUGCCAAAAAUGUUUUUUGCAUGUCGUCCUAUGUCAAAAUAGAG